rnacentral:piRNA from 8 species
GGUUUCGUACGUAGCAGAGCAGCUCCCU